rnacentral:rRNA from 1 species
AGAAUUUGAUCUUGGUUCAGAUUGAACGCUGGCGGCGUGGAUGAGGCAUGCAAGUCGAACGGAAUAAUGACUUCGGUUGUUAUUUAGUGGCGGAAGGGUUAGUAAUACAUAGAUAAUCUGUCCUCAACUUGGGAAUAACGGUUGGAAACGACCGCUAAUACCGAAUGUGGUAUGUUUAGGCAUCUAAAACAUAUUAAAGAAGGGGAUCUUCGGACCUUUCGGUUGAGGGAGAGUCUAUGGGAUAUCAGCUUGUUGGUGGGGUAAUGGCCUACCAAGGCUUUGACGUCUAGGCGGAUUGAGAGAUUGACCGCCAACACUGGGACUGAGACACUGCCCAGACUUCUACGGAAGGCUGCAGUCGAGAAUCUUUCGCAAUGGACGAAAGUCUGACGAAGCGACGCCGCGUGUGUGAUGAAGGCUCUAGGGUUGUAAAGCACUUUCGCUUGGGAAUAAGAGAGAUUGGCUAAUAUCCAAUCGAUUUGAGCGUACCAGGUAAAGAAGCACCGGCUAACUCCGUGCCAGCAGCUGCGGUAAUACGGGGGGUGCUAGCGUUAAUCGGAUUUAUUGGGCGUAAAGGGCGUGUAGGCGGAAAGGAAAGUUAGAUGUUAAAUCUUGGGGCUCAACCCCAAGCCAGCAUCUAAUACUAUCUUUCUAGAGGGUAGAUGGAGAAAAGGGAAUUCCACGUGUAGCGGUGAAAUGCGUAGAUAUGUGGAAGAACACCAGUGGCGAAGGCGCUUUUCUAAUUUACACCUGACGCUAAGGCGCGAAAGCAAGGGGAGCAAACAGGAUUAGAUACCCUGGUAGUCCUUGCCGUAAACGAUGCAUACUUGAUGUGGAUAGUCUCAACCCUAUCCGUGUCGUAGCUAACGCGUUAAGUAUGCCGCCUGAGGAGUACACUCGCAAGGGUGAAACUCAAAAGAAUUGACGGGGGCCCGCACAAGCAGUGGAGCAUGUGGUUUAAUUCGAUGCAACGCGAAGAACCUUACCUGGGCUUGACAUGUAUUUGACCGCGGCAGAAAUGUCGUUUUCCGCAAGGACAGAUACACAGGUGCUGCAUGGCUGUCGUCAGCUCGUGCCGUGAGGUGUUGGGUUAAGUCCCGCAACGAGCGCAACCCUUAUCGUUAGUUGCCAACACUUAGGGUGGGAACUCUAACGAGACUGCCUGGGUUAACCAGGAGGAAGGCGAGGAUGACGUCAAGUCAGCAUGGCCCUUAUGCCCAGGGCUACACACGUGCUACAAUGGCCAGUACAGAAGGUAGCAAUAUCGUGAGAUGGAGCAAAUCCUCAAAGCUGGCCCCAGUUCGGAUUGUAGUCUGCAACUCGACUACAUGAAGUCGGAAUUGCUAGUAAUGGCGUGUCAGCUAUAACGCCGUGAAUACGUUCCCGGGCCUUGUACACACCGCCCGUCACAUCAUGGGAGUUGGUUUUGCCUUAAGUCGUUGACUCAACCUGCAAAGGAGAGAGGCGCCCAAGGUGAGGCUGAUGACUGGGAUGAAGUCGUAACAAG